rnacentral:rRNA from 1 species
GAUGAACGCUGGCGGCGUGCCUAAUACAUGCCAGUCGAGCGAACGGACGAGAAGCUUGCUUCUCUGAUGUUAGCGGCGGACGGGUGAGUAACACGUGGAUAACCUACCUAUAAGACUGGGAUAACUUCGGGAAACCGGAGCUAAUACCGGAUAAUAUUUUGAACCGCAUGGUUCAAAAGUGAAAGACGGUCUUGCUGUCACUUAUAGAUGGAUCCGCGCUGCAUUAGCUAGUUGGUAAGGUAACGGCUUACCAAGGCAACGAUGCAUAGCCGACCUGAGAGGGUGAUCGGCCACACUGGAACUGAGACACGGUCCAGACUCCUACGGGAGGCAGCAGUAGGGAAUCUUCCGCAAUGGGCGAAAGCCUGACGGAGCAACGCCGCGUGAGUGAUGAAGGUCUUUGGAUAGUAAAACUCUGUUAUUAGGGAAGAACAUAUGUGUAAGUAACUGUGCACAUCUUGACGGUACCUAAUCAGAAAGCCACGGCUAACUACGUG